AAUGGGCGAAAGCCUGAUCCAGCCAUGCCGCGUGCAGGAAGACUGCCUAUGGGUUGUAAACUGCUUUUAUACGGGAAGAACCCAUCUACGUGUAGGUGGCUGACGGUACCGUAAGAAUAAGCAUCGGCUAACUCCGUGCCAGCAGCCGCGGUAAUACGGAGGAUGCAAGCGUUAUCCGGAAUCAUUGGGUUUAAAGGGUCUGUAGGUGGAUUAGUAAGUCAGAGGUGAAAGCCUGCAGCUCAACUGUAGAACUGCCUUUGAUACUGCUAGUCUUGAAUUAUUGUGAAGUGGUUAGAAUAUGUAGUGUAGCGGUGAAAUGCAUAGAUAUUACAUAGAAUACCAAUUGCGAAGGCAGAUCACUAACAAUAUAUUGACACUGAUGGACGAAAGCGUGGGGAGCGAACGGGAUU
rnacentral:rRNA from 1 species